UUUAGGCUGGCUUACAAUUCUUCAGAAGCAAUAUCUGUAUAUAUGAAAAUUACUACGUUGUUGAAUAUAAAACCUUAAAGAACUCGUCCUGGUAUCAUUUGUAGGCUAUUAUAAAGAUCAACCAGUGACUCCCCCGCAAACCACAACAUCAAAUGUAGUGCUCCUCUACAGAAUAACAUCACAAAAGAACCAUGGCAAGAUAAAGGCUAGUACCAAGCACGCCAUUAGAAAGUUGCAUAAAGAAUUCUUACAUCGAAUAGAACUUUUUCAAGAAGUGUCUAAAGUUGUUGCUACCAGUCUCAUCCCAUCCCACUCCAUCAUGAAUAUUGAGGUGUCCUCGAAAUUGCUGGUUACUAUCUUUCCACAUUUUUCACACAAUCUGCAAGGCACGGCAUGUUUAGUUAAAUCGAGUCUUGAAACACGUCAUUAUAGAUCAAAUUUUUAGCAGUGGGACACAUAUAUUCAUUUAUAUUUUACACCUUCAACGUGCCAACACUUGCUAUUUUAAUUUUCUUAAUAAUAAACUAGACAUAUCGAAAUUUUAUACAUGAGUAAUGUUAUUCACCAAUUAUGCUGCUUCGCCAUAAGGAGUAAUGUUGAAUUACUUAUUUGCCAUCUUAAAUCCUACAUUGGUGGUAAGAAAAGACUUGAAUUGAGUACCCUUUUGUUUUCCUUUCGUACUUUAAUUCAAAUGUUCCACAUGUUGAAAGAAUUUGUAGCAUGCCAUGACUUAAUUUCAAUUCAUGAAAUCUUACUUGUAAAGAAGGAAUUCUCAAGAUCUUCAUGGUAGAAUCACUUGCAUUCUCAUGCUCCAAAAAUCAUCAAAUUAACACACUCCAAUAGUCUAGAUCUCGAGCGCAAUGGAAGGAAUCAUUAUCCACAAUCGAAGCGUCAAGAUUUUUGAGUUUUGUAGCCAAAACUAUUGUUAUAGUCCCUUUGCAUUUAUUGUGCAUUUUCAUACACGAAUUUUCAUCAUUUUUCUAUCAUUCCAUCUCUGCCCCUUUUGCAAGACAUGUUAAGGAGAGUUAUAUAGAGUUUAGGAACAUUAAGGGAAGUUGCAUGUUUGGCCCUUGUUUGAGCCCCAUUUUUGUCAACAAAUACACUUUUGAAUAGUGUAUUGAUGAGAAAUAUGUGAUUAAAAAAUAAAGAAGUCACGAAUUUGCAUAUAAUAUUAUUUUAUUGAAAAAU
rnacentral:lncRNA from 1 species